rnacentral:rRNA from 1 species
AACGAACGUUAGCGGCGCGCCUAACACAUGCAAGUCGAGCGAGAAAGGGCUUCGGCCCCGGUACAGCGGCGCACGGGUGAGUAACACGUAGGUAAUCUACCCUCAGGUGGAGGAUAACCUUCCGAAAGGAGGGCUAAUACUGCAUGAGACCACGAUCCCGAAAGGGAAUGAGGUCAAAGCCGGCCUCUUUACAAAAGCUGGCGCCAGAGGAUGAGCCUGCGGCCCAUCAGCUAGUUGGUAGGGUAAUGGCCUACCAAGGCGAAGACGGGUAGCUGGUCUGAGAGGAUGAUCAGCCACACUGGAACUGAGACACGGUCCAGACUCCUACGGGAGGCAG